UCCUGAGCUCCUGGGGAAAUCAGUGGCAGGGACACAGACAUGAUUUCCUCAGCCCGUGGCAGUGUUUGGGGAAAUGCAAUGAGAGCUUGGAGCGCUGUCCCAUGAAGGGAAUGUGAUGGAUGUGAUGGACACAGUAAAUCUGGGACUUCCAUGGCUGAGUGGUGGCCUUGUCCUUUCUGAGGGACCAUCCAGGGACACUGCCCAGAGAGCUGUGGGUGCCCCAUCCCUGGAGGUGCUCAAGAACAUUAGGAAAAAAAUCUUCUCUGAAAGGGUAGUAAUGCAUUGGAACGGGCUGCCCAGGGAGGCGGUGGAUUCCCUGUCCCUACAGGGCACCUUGUCUGUGUGCUGGAGAUGGACACCUCUCCAAGAGCAUCUACCAGGGUCUCCAUCCUUUGCUCCUGUACCUGCAAAGGAAAGGCCAUGUCGUCUUGAAGCUGGGCUUGUUCUGAAAACCCCUCCUGUGCUUCCUGGUGUCACACAGCACGUCGGUUCAGGUGUCACUGCCAAUCCCACUUGCCAGGCCCAUGUGCACUUCGUUUUCUUGCCCUUCUUGAGAACUGUCUGCAGGUUGUGCUUUGCCUCCAUCAUCAUUGUGGCUUUCAUCUGCACCGGUAGCGGCAAUCCCCACCAUGCAGGAUUUAUUUACAUUGCAGGCCACGAGCAGAGGUUCUAUUCUUCCGAAGCGUCCAGGUUUCUAAGAUCGCAUUAUAUUUUACCUUUUUGGGAAAUUCCUUUCCUAGAAAGGAACAGCUGGUCUUAAUCUGUUCCGAUGAUACCUACUGAUCUAUACAGCAAGAGCAAAGCGAGGCCAACUGUGUUGGAAAGCAUUGUGGGCUUCUCCGCAAAUAUUCAUUCACUGUUUCGGACUCUCUUUUUAAAGCCAUGAUGUAGAGAGGCACUUCGAGCUUGCUCCCCACGUUUUCCAUUAGUGGUAAUUUAAAACUUUGAAAAAUGUACAGUAACUUGCCUGGGUCAGCUGAGUAUCAGCAUGUAGCUUUUCAUUCACAUUUUUCAUUUAAUCCGGUGGCUUUGAAUUC
ensembl:lncRNA